UGUGCACCACCCUCUCACCCAAACGAAGGCAGCUGGCCCUGAAGUUCUCUGAGCUUGAGGACAAAAAAAGACCUCUGUGAGUUGUCAGGCUCUGUUACAGUCUGGGUCAGCAGACAAGAGUCCCAGGGCUCGGCCGUCUUCUCUAGGAGAGAAAAUAUUCGUGCCAUAUAGCGUGUUCUAAGAGUUCUCACCAGAAGCCCAGAAAGUUCUGUAUUUACUCAGCAUUCAAGAGGAAUAUCCACAGAAGCAGAAGUAGGAAUGGGGAAGGAGGGGACAAGUUUAGACCAAGCUCUUCUGUGACCUCACUUCUGCUUUUGAAGUCCCACAGCUCUAUAAGGCUACCUUCAUCCCCAAACAGGAACUGCUGCAAGGCCCGCAGCAGCCAUGGGUGAGUGGCUCUGGAGAUGGGGUAAGUGGCCUACGCACCCCAGAGGAACAGCUGGCAGCCUAGUCUUCGGGCAGCAGCUCCACUCAGCCCUGGGGAAUGACAGAUACAGGUGUGUUCCCUCAGGUGCAUAUGUGCAUGUGCUUGUGUGCAACUUCCUCCUCUGCUCUCAUUCCUGCAAGGUGCAUUCUCAGAAGGCUGUUACUCCACAGUCACUACGGUUGUGAAGCGGAACCAGACAACUUCCCAUUUUCGAGGUUCUACAAUUGGCAAUAUGGGAAAAUCUUACCCCAUUACCACCCAACUCGAUUCUUUCAAUGCAAGCUUGUCUAACCCAUAGCCUGCAGGCCACAUGUGACCCAGGAUGACUUUGGAUGUGGCCCAGUGCAAAUUCGUAAACUUUCUUAAAAUAUUAUAAGAUUGUUUUGCAAUACAUCAGUAUCGUUAGCGUUAGUGUAUUUUAUAUGUGGCCCAAGACAAUUCUUCUUCUGAUGUGGCCGAGGGAAGCCAAAAGAUUGGAUACUCCUGCGUAAGGGGGAAAUGCAUGUUUAUAGUCAUAUAUAUAUAUUUUUUUUUUCUAAUUUUUUUUUUGCACCCAGUGCAGUGGCACAAUCAUA
rnacentral:lncRNA from 1 species